rnacentral:miRNA from 1 species
UAGAUCACAUUUGCAAAUUCUUAAAAAAUUUGAAAAUCAUUUGAUACUUCAUUUCAUUAAUUCAAAUCAAUGUAUAAAAUGAUUUUAUGAUUAUCCGUUAAUUUGAAUUAAUAAAAUGAAGUAUCAAAUGAUUUUCAAAUUUUCUAAAAAUUUACAGACUUGAUCUA